rnacentral:rRNA from 1 species
CAGUAGCCGCGGUAAUACGUAGGUGGCAGGCGUUGUCCGGCAUUAUUGGGCGUAAAGGGCUCGCAGGCGGUUUCUUAAGUCUGAUGUGAAAGCCCCCGGCUCAACCGGGGAGGGUCAUUGGAAACUGGGAAACUUGAGUGCAGAAGAGGAGAGUGGAAUUCCACGUGUAGCGGUGAAAUGCGUAGAGAUGUGGAGGAACACCAGUGGCGAAGGCGACUCUCUGGUCUGUAACUGACGCUGAGGAGCGAAAGCGUGGGGAGCGAACAGGAUUAGAUACCCCAGUAGUCCCUGUCUCUUAUAC